AUUUCCCUUCGCUGUGCGUGAUUGGAAUGUUAGCCUUUCCUCCGAUGUUUGAAAUAUUAGGGACCUAACGCUUUGCUGAUUGAACGCCAGGCCUUAACUGGAAGGCGGGAUUUCAGAGCGCUCCCUUUUCUGUACAUAAAGGGACGAAAGGUCUCAUUCACACGGCAGCGAGGGGAUUUU
rnacentral:other from 1 species